UGCUGUUGUUGUGUUAUGUGCACUCAAAAUAACAUACGCGCCGCACGCCUGCAGUGUACCCUGACUAGUUUAACACAUAAUUUGCAGUGAUGGCUGAACAAAAGUGGAGCAUCGUCUGUAGCUAUUUCACAGCUGUGAAUGAAAACGUUGCAAACUGCAAUGUGUGCAUCAAACCCGGGUCUCACAGGUGGCAGCUGGUUUGCUAAACAAACAGCCAGUCGUGCUGAUACAGCGGAUUGUGCGCUUAAAACAGCCGCGGCCGGAAAAGACGUUCUCAGGCUGGAGAGGACGUUUUGAAAGUGCUACGGAUGAAAGCAUCGCAGCUACCACUCAUAUGUGAACAGUUACGUCUCCAUAACAACUGAGCAAGCUAAGGAAAAAGCUACACCUUUGCAGCCAGGAGCCCUGGGUGUCCAUCUUCCAGCUGGCACAACCACCACUUCCUCAGGAUGGACUCUGUGGCUGCUGUCCGGGGCUCCACACCCAGAGGAGGACUCAUGUUACUCUCGUCCACACUUCUGUAACAGCUUCAGCAGCCACAGGUGCUUUAGUACCUCAAACCAGGUGCAGAAGCAGAGGUGGAGACUCGGGACAACAGGGGGGGGAUGGAGGGCAACAGUAAGACAGAGACUGUGCCUCCUGGCCUCGGUAGGACUUUGGCCAUGUCUGGGCCUCUGCUCUCAGAUCCCCUGGAGACGCUGCACAGCCAGACGGACUCUUUCCUCACUGCAGCCCGGCUUGUCCGCGGAGGAUGGACGGAGGAGGGGAAGAAGACAGGGUGGACAUAUUCCCAUUUCGACUGCUCAGCACGUCAACCCUCUCUCUCCAGGUCAGAUGGAAAUCGGGGGCCAAAACGUGCUGAGAUUUGCCUGAAGGACCACAGGAGCGGGCAGGUUCCAGCUGUGAACAGCAGGAAGACGGCUGAGGGCGGAGAAACGGGCACUGAAAAAAAGGCAGAUGAUGCAAAGCAGACAACUGAAGGUGCAUUCUCAGCUAAGAGACAAGCAGAAAGACAGAUGGGUCUCCGCAGUCAGACAGGCAUUGUUUGUGUCUGGGCGUCCGGCUGUCGCACCACAUGCAGACAGUACAGAAGGUUUAAAGCCCCAAUAUUACCAGUCAUUGCUGAGAUGUAGGCUAGCUGCCAUUUGUUCCAGAAAGGACACAAAUUAAAAAGGAAAGGUGCAUGUAAAACACUGCUUUUUCUUGGUUACAAGAGUACUAUAAUAUAUCUAGACUUUAAUCAAGCCUAAUGUUAAAUGGAGGAUUACAUAUGUUACUGUUGGUUGGUGUUCUGACAUUAUUGGUGCAGUAGAAUCAAUAUUGAAACUAAAUUAGUUUUUUGUUGUCUGAUCACACCGCCUUUUUUAAUUUGUCAUCUAGCCAUUGCAAUCCACACUGAUCAAAAGGCUUGUCUUAACCCAGCCCAGCCCUUAUCACAGCUGAGGACUGAGUGAUGCGGUUCAACAGAAACAAAAACACACAGGAAAUGCAGACGGAAAAUAAGCCAAGUAACUAAAAAGUGACGUGGACAAAGACCCUCAAUUUAGAAACUACUUCACUGUGCAGUUUAAGGUAAGGUCCACAGUAUAUUCAGGUUAUGUUACGUGUUGUCAUGUUUUAUGUUGCCAAUGAGACUAAGAGCAGCCCAGAGAUAUUUGGAAAGGCAGUUGAGUGCCUUACAGAAAGAGCACAAUGUUCAUCCCUCUGAUAGAUUGCAGGCUGAAAUCACUUCUGUGAAAGCUGCAUUUAUAGCACUUAUGAGUAAUAAAAAAUGGCUUGUGUACCUGCCUGACUUAACUCUCAGCGCCUGUAUAACACAUGCUUCUGGCAGGAAAUUAUACAGCAAUAAAGACAUUAAUUCUACUGCUCUGACAUUCAGUGGGUUCACAACCACAGUGAUGGAUGCCUCUAUAUCAUUAAUAGUGUUUAGACGAGCUGAUUACUGCUUAUCCCAAUUUCAUUACUUUAUGUAGAUCAAAAGCUAAAAGUUUGUCCAGAAAAUUGGAGAUGGUGCUUUCGAGUAUUAAGUCGUCUGACCUAUUUUGGGCUGUAAAUCUUGUAAUAACAUUUGUCGGCUGAUCAGCAUUUUUCACUAUGGGCCACAUGCAAAGCAAAGGUUUUUAAUUAUUUCAACCAAUCAAGCUUUUGAUAGAAUAUAAAUGACUAUAUUUUGCCUUAGAAAGAAAAAAAAAAAGUGACAAUUUUACCCAAAUAAUACAAAAAAAAAAAAUAUAUAUAUAAUUCAAUAAAAAUGGUAAUGGUGCUAACAAUAACAUAACUACAGUGAAAUUAAUACAUUAUGAACAUUCACACAACCAAAUAUAGUAAAUCAAAGGAAUAAACAGCCAACUGGUGGCUCUAAUUGGACAUGGCGCUAAUAACAUCAAUCAAUUAGCUGUCAGACUGAAGGCAAAUUAAACUACAGUGGCGGACAUUAGUAAAACUCCAAGAUAUACUCAAUCUCCAACAUUGAAUUAGAUAGCAAUGCACAUGAACAAAAAGUAGAAAACGGGUGGAAAUUAAUAUUGAACAUUAAUAGUUAGCUUAACUUUACUGCUCAGCAAUGUACUCUUAGAUGUGGAGCUAAUUACAAACGAUUAGACCACAUAGAUCACGUGGGAAAAUGAUCAAAUAUUAAAAUACCGUUGUGUGACUGUCUUACCUGUGUUACGGUUUAACGAGCGACCUGGUUAAUUGGCGACUUUCAGCCAAAUGCUCUGUGAGUAAUGCUGUCGAAGUUAGAUAGCUGUUUAAAACAGGAAGAGCAAACGCAGCUGAAUGCCUCUUUGUUUAGUUUGUCAUCAUUAUGUCAAAGAAACACACCUGGUUCGUCUUUUGAGUCUUGUAUGAGGAAACGUGUCACGUGGUACAAGAACGCCCACUUUUUCUUCUUCUCUGCUUUCAUCCUUUUUGGACACAAAUCGCCAUUUUUUUUUUUUUUUGGGGGGGGGGCGCCAUCUUGUGGCCAUUUUCCACUGUAACAACUUUUCUGCAGAUGUAUUUCUCUGCAAAAGAUAAACAAACGAUUUAAAUAUUAUUUUUGUUAAUUUUCAAAACUUGACAAUUAUUGUAAUCUUAAAGAUAAUCAGUGUCAGCGUAUCAUACCUGUGGUACACACGAUGCAUCACAUUGAUCUCCUUCCUUGGCAUUGUUGUUGUGCUCCAUCGCAAAUGUAAUGUUUCAUUGUACACAACCAAUAUAUUGAACACAAUAUUAAUGAUAAAAGAUUCCUGUUAACUAGCAGGAUCAGAAGAUUAGUAAUCAAAAGCACUUAGGAAUGGUAAAUUAACACAGAAAAGAGUUCACAUUUAUAUGUUUCAAAACUAUUCAGUUUAUUUUUGUCAAGCCUGUGAAGAUAUUAAAACAAGGUACACCAGAAAGGAGUAAUAUUGUAUAUGUUUAUACUAUUUCAAUGCUACUAUAUACUAGACUUACAGAUUUAAAUGCACAAAGAGUCAACGACUAACGAUUUUCUAUUUGCUGAAAAUAUUGAAACCCAUCCAAUCUCAGAUAUAUGACAGACAGGAAGGCUGUUUGUGUAGUAUUUUGACGCACUAUACAGAUGCUCAAAUGUUGUACUUAACUGACAAUAACUGAACAUUUGUAUAUUUUAGUGUUUGUAAUACAAAUGACUUUAAUGUCAGUGACAGCAACUGGAAUUCAAUUUCUUAAACCGUCUUAAUAUAUUCAGGUUUAUAUAUAAAAAUCAGAAGAAUAGUUUCUCCUGAUGGUUGAUUUAUUACAGUAUAUAAAGGUUUAAACAACAAUGCUCUUAUAUACACUUAUAGAUUCAAACAAUGUGAAUGUUUAUAGAUUAGGUACACUUAUAUGUGAAUCAGGGAGAAUUAAUACGUUGUGUGCAGUGGUAUUACUUUUACACGUGUUUACACUCAGUAAUGUUUUCAAACUUCCAAAGACAAGAGAGCCACUUUGAUAGAGGAGAGCAGAUGGACAGCAAAUCCAAUUAAGCAACUUCUACCCAAAGUUUAAAUGACAUUAAAAGUGUCUGCUACAGGGUCACCAGCAGUGAUGCCGGGUGAGGGAGAGAGAAAGAAAGAGAGAUUUUCAGUUCACGUCAGAAAAGCAACUUCACAGCUCAUUUUGGACUAUUUAUUUCCUUUAUUAUCAAAGUCUCAUUCAAGUUACAGAAUUUUCCAGGAAGUUAAAAUGUCUUAAAUAAAUGAAUUUAAGUUGCUUAAGAAACUUAGUUCUGUGAUAAUACUGACUUUGGUGUCAACAAGGCAAAAUUGUAUCCCUUCAAUGUCUUAUCUUACAGCCUUUUAGGACUUGAGGAUAUGCAAUAGUCUUUACAGCACAGUACAUAAAAUAAAGCAUCGCCUAGUGUAAA